rnacentral:rRNA from 1 species
AGCGUACACGGUGGAUGCCCUGGCAGUCAGAGGCGAUGAAGGACGUGCUAAUCUGCGAUAAGCGUCGGUGAGGUGAUAUGAACCGUUAUAACCGGCGAUUUCCGAAUGGGGAAACCCAGUGUGUUUCGACACACUAUCAUUAACUGAAUCCAUAGGUUAAUGAGGCGAACCGGGGGAACUGAAACAUCUAAGUACCCCGAGGAAAAGAAAUCAACCGAGAUUCCCCCAGUAGCGGCGAGCGAACGGGGAGGAGCCCAGAGCCUGAAUCAGUGUGUGUGUUAGUGGAAGCGUCUGGAAAGGCGCGCGAUACAGGGUGACAGCCCCGUACACAAAAAUGCACAUAUUGUGAGCUCGAUGAGUAGGGCGGGACACGUGGUAUCCUGUCUGAAUAUGGGGGGACCAUCCUCCAAGGCUAAAUACUCCUGACUGACCGAUAGUGAACCAGUACCGUGAGGGAAAGGCGAAAAGAACCCCGGCGAGGGGAGUGAAAAAGAACCUGAAACCGUGUACGUACAAGCAGUGGGAGCCUCUUAAUGGGGUGACUGCGUACCUUUUGUAUAAUGGGUCAGCGACUUAUAUUCUGUAGCAAGGUUAACCGAAUAGGGGAGCCGAAGGGAAACCGAGUCUUAACUGGGCGUUAAGUUGCAGGGUAUAGACCCGAAACCCGGUGAUCUAGCCAUGGGCAGGUUGAAGGUUGGGUAACACUAACUGGAGGACCGAACCGACUAAUGUUGAAAAAUUAGCGGAUGACUUGUGGCUGGGGGUGAAAGGCCAAUCAAACCGGGAGAUAGCUGGUUCUCCCCGAAAGCUAUUUAGGUAGCGCCUCGUGAAUUCAUCUCCGGGGGUAGAGCACUGUUUCGGCAAGGGGGUCAUCCCGACUUACCAACCCGAUGCAAACUGCGAAUACCGGAGAAUGUUAUCACGGGAGACACACGGCGGGUGCUAACGUCCGUCGUGAAGAGGGAAACAACCCAGACCGCCAGCUAAGGUCCCAAAGUCAUGGUUAAGUGGGAAACGAUGUGGGAAGGCCCAGACAGCCAGGAUGUUGGCUUAGAAGCAGCCAUCAUUUAAAGAAAGCGUAAUAGCUCACUGGUCGAGUCGGCCUGCGCGGAAGAUGUAACGGGGCUAAACCAUGCACCGAAGCUGCGGCAGCGACACUGUGUGUUGUUGGGUAGGGGAGCGUUCUGUAAGCCUGUGAAGGUGGCCUGUGAGGGUUGCUGGAGGUAUCAGAAGUGCGAAUGCUGACAUAAGUAACGAUAAAGCGGGUGAAAAGCCCGCUCGCCGGAAGACCAAGGGUUCCUGUCCAACGUUAAUCGGGGCAGGGUGAGUCGACCCCUAAGGCGAGGCCGAAAGGCGUAGUCGAUGGGAAACAGGUUAAUAUUCCUGUACUUGGUGUUACUGCGAAGGGGGGACGGAGAAGGCUAUGUUGGCCGGGCGACGGUUGUCCCGGUUUAAGCGUGUAGGCUGGUUUUCCAGGCAAAUCCGGAAAACCAAGGCUGAGGCGUGAUGACGAGGCACUACGGUGCUGAAGCGACAAAUGCCCUGCUUCCAGGAAAAGCCUCUAAGCAUCAGGUAACAUCAAAUCGUACCCCAAACCGACACAGGUGGUCAGGUAGAGAAUACCAAGGCGCUUGAGAGAACUCGGGUGAAGGAACUAGGCAAAAUGGUGCCGUAACUUCGGGAGAAGGCACGCUGAUAUGUAGGUGAAGCGACUUGCUCGUGGAGCUGAAAUCAGUCGAAGAUACCAGCUGGCUGCAACUGUUUAUUAAAAACACAGCACUGUGCAAACACGAAAGUGGACGUAUACGGUGUGACGCCUGCCCGGUGCCGGAAGGUUAAUUGAUGGGGUUAGCGGUAACGCGAAGCUCUUGAUCGAAGCCCCGGUAAACGGCGGCCGUAACUAUAACGGUCCUAAGGUAGCGAAAUUCCUUGUCGGGUAAGUUCCGACCUGCACGAAUGGCGUAAUGAUGGCCAGGCUGUCUCCACCCGAGACUCAGUGAAAUUGAACUCGCUGUGAAGAUGCAGUGUACCCGCGGCAAGACGGAAAGACCCCGUGAACCUUUACUAUAGCUUGACACUGAACAUUGAGCCUUGAUGUGUAGGAUAGGUGGGAGGCUUUGAAGUGUGGACGCCAGUCUGCAUGGAGCCGACCUUGAAAUACCACCCUUUAAUGUUUGAUGUUCUAACGUUGGCCCGUAAUCCGGGUUGCGGACAGUGUCUGGUGGGUAGUUUGACUGGGGCGGUCUCCUCCUAAAGAGUAACGGAGGAGCACGAAGGUUGGCUAAUCCUGGUCGGACAUCAGGAGGUUAGUGCAAUGGCAUAAGCCAGCUUGACUGCGAGCGUGACGGCGCGAGCAGGUGCGAAAGCAGGUCAUAGUGAUCCGGUGGUUCUGAAUGGAAGGGCCAUCGCUCAACGGAUAAAAGGUACUCCGGGGAUAACAGGCUGAUACCGCCCAAGAGUUCAUAUCGACGGCGGUGUUUGGCACCUCGAUGUCGGCUCAUCACAUCCUGGGGCUGAAGUAGGUCCCAAGGGUAUGGCUGUUCGCCAUUUAAAGUGGUACGCGAGCUGGGUUUAGAACGUCGUGAGACAGUUCGGUCCCUAUCUGCCGUGGGCGCUGGAGAACUGAGGGGGGCUGCUCCUAGUACGAGAGGACCGGAGUGGACGCAUCACUGGUGUUCGGGUUGUCAUGCCAAUGGCACUGCCCGGUAGCUAAAUGCGGAAGAGAUAAGUGCUGAAAGCAUCUAAGCACGAAACUUGCCCCGAGAUGAGUUCU